CCCUUAGAUGUCCGGGGCCGCACGCGCGCUACAAUGGCAGUACCAACGAGUAUAAUUCCUAACCUGAAAGGGUCGGGUAACCUGUUAAAUUACUGUCAUAUCUGGGAUAGUGGUUUGCAAUUAUUCCACUUGAACCAGGAAUUCCUAGUAAGUACAAGUCACUAGCUUGUGCUGAUUACGUCCCUGCCCUUUGUACACACCGCCCGUCGCUACUACCGAUGAAUGGUCCAGUGAGAUUAUUGGAUUCGGUUCUAAGAGACGUCAGUUUCUAAGAACUGGAGAAGAUACUCAAACUGCAUUAUUUAGAGGAAGUAAAAGUCGUAACA
rnacentral:rRNA from 1 species